rnacentral:rRNA from 1 species
GACAGAGGGUGCAAACGUUGUUCGGAAUUACUGGGCGUAAAGCGUGUGUAGGCGGCUAUGUAAGUCGGAUGUGAAAGCCCCGGGCUCAACUCGGGAAGUGCACUCGAUACUGCGUAGCUUGAGUACCGGAGAGGUUGGUGGAAUUCCCGGUGUAGCGGUGAAAUGCGCAGAUAUCGGGAGGAACACCAAUUGCGAAGGCAGCUCGCUGGGACGAUACUGACGCUGAGGCGCGAAAGCGUGGGGAGCAAACAGG